rnacentral:rRNA from 1 species
GGGGAGGCAGCAGUGGGGAAUUUUUCGCAAUGGGCGAAAGCCUGACGAAGCAACGCCGCGUGGAGGAUGAAGGCCCUCGUGGUCGUAAACUCCUGUCUAGCGGGACGAAAGUAUUGGAGGUGAAUAAUCUCCGAUAUUGACUGUACCGCUGGAGGAAGCUCCGGCCAACUCCGUGCCAGCAGCCGCGGUAAUACGGAGGGAGCAAGCGUUACUCGGAAUUAUUGGGCGUAAAGGGCGCGUAGGCGAUCUGACAAGUCUGGUGUGAAAGCCCACAUGUUAACUGUGGAAGUGCAUUAGAAACUGUUGGAUCUGAGUUCAGGAGAGGAAGGCAGAAUUCCCGGUGUAGCGGUGAAAUGCGUAGAGAUCGGGAGGAAUACCAGUGGCGAAGGCGGCCUUCUGGACUGACACUGACGCUGAGGCGCGAAAGCCGGGGGAGCAAACGGGAUUAGAUACCCCAGUAGUCUU